UACGAACUGUGCGAACGUUAUUCGGAAUCACUGGGCUUACAGGGUGCGUAGGCGGCUUGUUAAGUAGGGUGUGAAAGCCCCCGGCUCAACCGGGGAAUUGCGCCCUAAACUGGCGAGCUGGAGUGAGAUAGGGGUGUGCGGAACUUCCGGUGGAGCGGUGAAAUGUGUUGAUAUCGGAAGGAACGCCGGUGGCGAAAGCGGCACACUGGAUCUCAACUGACGCUGAGGCACGAAAGCCAAGGGAGCGAACGGG
rnacentral:rRNA from 1 species